GGCUAGAUACGACCAUGAGACCGAUACCGUGAAGAAAAGUUGAAAAGUACUUUGAAGAGUUAACGAGUACGUGAAACCGUUCAGAGGUAAACCUAAGAAACCCAAAAAAUCGAACGGGGAGAUUCAUCGUCAACGAAACUGGCUUCGCGUCGGUGGGCGAUAACCCCGCGGUGUGUCCUAAGCGGCACGCGCGUGCGGGCACGNNACCGAACGCCGAUGUCCGGUUUUCGUCGUCGUGCACUUCUCCCCUAGUAGAACGUCGCGACUCGCUGUGUGUCGGUCACCGACCCGGGUGCGGUUACUGUCACGUCGCCCGUAAAAACGGCGCGCGGCAAACACCCC
rnacentral:rRNA from 1 species